GUGGCCGUAGCUCAACGGGCCAGAGUACCGCGCGGUGAACGCGGGGGUUCCGGUUCGAGUCCGGACGGUCACACCA
rnacentral:tRNA from 1 species